UCCGUAGUGGGCCAACAUGGUAAAGUUGCUCUGACUUGGUUCGGCCCAGAGCCAAGGGUGGUGGUCAACGACCCUAGACUGUUCCGUGAAAUCCCAUCGAACAAGCGGGGCCACUUUGGGAAGCAGAAGUCCAUGUUUCGGAUCGAGCGGCUGAUGGCCAAUGGGCUGACAGCCCACCCAGGCGACAAGUGGGCCGCCCACCGGAGGAUCAUCAACCAUGCGUUCCAUCUUGACAAGCUCAAGAGGAUGUCACUAGCUUUUGCAGCGUGUUCUAGUGAAUUGGUGUGAAGAUGGGGAGACUCUCUGGAGCUGGGUGAUGCGCGGGAGAUAGAUGUCUGGCCAGAGUUCUAGAACCUCACCGGCGACGUCAUCUCCCGAGUGGCGUUCGGGAGCAGCUUCAGCAAAGGGAGAAGGAUAUUCAGGCUGCAAUCGGAGCAGGCACAGAGUGUUGUCAAGAUCGCAAACGUAAUGUACGUUCCAGGUUACAGAUUCCUGCCAACAAAGCUCAAUAGGAGGAUGAAGGCAAAUGCCUAUGAGGUCGAAGCGCUUCUCAAAGACAUAAUCACCAAGAGGGAGAGGGCGAUGACGGACGGCCAUGCCAACAACGACGAUCUAGGUGUGAUGAUGAAGGCCAACAUAAAUAUAAGCCAAGUAGCCGGAAGCUCCAAGCCAACGAUGACCUCCGAGGACAUAGUAGGGGAGCUGAAGCUCCUCUAUUUUGCGGGCAUGGAGACAACCGCGGUGCUGCUCACAUGGGCAAUGGUCUUGCUAAGCAUGCAUCACGAGUGGCAGGACCGUGCCAGGAAGGAGUUUCUGCAUGUCUUUGUAAAGAACCAAACGGAUUCUGAGGGCAUUGUAGAAGUGCUGCAGGUGACAAUGAUACUGCAUGAGGUUCUUAGAUUGUACCCACCGAUUUCCACUACAGGUCGGGAAGCGUAUAAAGAGUCGAAGCAGGGAGGUGUCACAUAUCCAGCCGGGGUAACAUUUGCGCUGCCAACUGUGUGCAUUCACCACGAUCCAGAUGUGUGGGGAGAAGAUGUCGAUGAAUUUAGGCCAGAGAGGUUUGCGGAGGGUAUCGCUGGCGCAUCCAAAAACUCGUCGGCGUUCUUUCUGUUCGGCUGGGGACCACGGAUUUGCGUCGGGCAAAACUUUGCAUUGCUGGAGGCCAAGAUGGGAUUGAGUGUGAUCCUACAACAUUUUAUCUUUGAGCUCUCGCCAUCUUACACUCAUGCGCCUUACCCGGUCUCCAGUCUACAGCCCCAGCACGAUUCACAGAUUAAGCUCAUGAAACUCUAA
rnacentral:rRNA from 1 species